GGCUUUCCGCUGCCUCCGUGACCGCUGGCAUGAAGCGCGGCCUCCGCCUUGACACUAAGUCAAUGGGCCCGCCUACUUCUGCCUCGCGGCGUCCCAGGCAGAUAGCUGGUUAUUCAGGUUUCGUUGGAAGAAAUACGCUCUCGUACCCCUGAAAGGCCCAGUCCAGUCAGGUGAUGGACUCCUCCCUGAAACUGCACAAGGUCACCUCUCCUAUCCCCGUAUUCCGUUUGGAUCCUUAUGCCAACGUGUUAGGAAGGCCCCCUCUGGUGGGUUUUGUACUGUCUCUAGCAUUUGACACUUAAUAUUUAAACACCACCGAUGAGGUGGUCGUCCUACUCACGGGACUGAGUUUCCAAACGGGCCAGAGAGCAGCACGUGAGCAUUUUGCAGGCUUUGGUAUCAGGAUGAUGCUCACCUCAUGAAAUGAGUUAGGGAGGAUUCCCUCUUUUUCUAUUGUUUGGAAUAGUUUCAGAAGGAAUGGUACCAGCUCCUCCUUGUACCUCUGGUAGAAUUCGACUGUGAGUCCAUCUGGUCCUGGACUUUUUUUGGUUGGUGCACAAAGCAGGGUCAUCAGAAGCCUCUCGAUUCAAAAGAUGUUAAUACCGAAAAACACUGCCCAGUGACAGUGAAUCCUUGGCAUAUGAAGAAAGCUUUCAAAGUCAUGAACGAAUUAAGAAGUCAAAAUUUGCUGUGCGAUGUCACAAUUGUGGCAGAAGACAUGGAAAUUUCUGCUCAUAGAGUGGUGCUGGCCGCCUGUAGUCCUUAUUUUCAUGCCAUGUUUACAGGUGGGAUGAGUGAGAGCCGAGCAAAGAGAGUUAGAAUAAAAGAGGUAGAUGGCUGGACCCUGAGGAUGCUAAUUGAUUAUGUUUACACUGCAGAAAUUCAGGUUACAGAAGAAAAUGUACAGGUACUUCUCCCAGCAGCUGGUGUGAAUUUUUGGAAUCCCAGCUUCACCCUGUCAACUGCUUAGGAAUCCGGGCUUUUGCUGAUAUGCAUGCAUGUACCGACCUUCUGAACAAGGCCAACACCUAUGCAGGUGGAGAAGCCGAGGACGGGCUCAGGGAACCGGAGACGGAGAAGGCGCUGUCCUCUUCACUGCACGCGCCCUGGACCAGUGCUGGCCUUGAUCAUGCAGCUCUUCCAGGCCCACUGCUUCUUCCUGUCCACUAGGCCACAGCUGCCCUCCAGGCCCACUAUGCACACAUCUUCCCCUCCAAGGUUUGUUCUGCCCCUGCCCUGACUCCCAGCCCUGCGGGGGUCCCGACCCCACCUCACCUGGCUCAGACUCUGAUGCUGCCCUGGCUGCCCCACCACUGCCUCUGCCCGAGAGUCACGUGAGGCUGAGAGUAGGGGCAGGGGCAGCAGUGGUGCCAGUUGGGGGGCGGUCCAGUGGGAGGAGCCUCAGCCUCGCGGGCUGUUCCGUGGGACUGAUGACUGCAUGAUCAUCUGGGCACCUCACGGAUCUUCAACUGCAGGUGAAACGGAUGCUGGUGGUGGGUGCAGGGCCACUGGGAGCCGCUGCAUGGUCCCAGAGGCUGGACUGGGGCAGGUGCCAACUGAAGCUGCUGGGGCAGCAUGGGCAGGAUGUUCUGCACACAAACCUUGGAGAAGAAAAUGUGUGCAUAGCGGGUCCACUGCUGCUGCCCCUUCCCUGACUCCCAGCCCUGCCUGACCCCACCUCACCCUGCUCAGGCUCUGGUGCAACUCUGGGUGCCUUGCCACUGCCUCUGCCCCAGAGUUGGGGCCUCGACAGCCUGGCUGGAAGGGGACACCCCAGCCCUGCCUCAACACCUGGGUCCCUCCAUAACUACCACAUGCAGAUGGGCGACCCCAAAGAAGAUCCCAGGACUCACAGUACCCCCUGAGAACAUGGACAGUAUGUGGGGGUAGCAAUGGAGGUCAGGAUGGUUAUCUUCUCCCGGGUAAAGCCAUUUAAUCCUUUCAGUUUGGGAUGGAAUAAGGCCUGCUUUUUUUUAUUUGUUUUUUUUUUGAGACGGAGUCUUGCUCUGUCGCCCAGGCUGGAGUGCAGUGGUGCGAUCUUGGCUCACUGCAACCUCUUCCCGCCGGGUUCACGCCAUUCUCCUGCCUCAGCCUUCCGGGUAGCUAGGAUUACAGGUGCACGCUACCACGUCCGGCUAAUUUUUGUAUUUUUAGUACAGACGGGGCUUCAUCAUCUUGGCCAGGCUGAUUUUGAGCUCCUGACAUCGCGAUCCACCUGCCUCCACCUCCCAAAGUGCUGGGAUUACAGGCGUGUGCCACCACGCCUGGCCAAGGCCUGCUCCUCUUAUCUAUACCCCCUACCCCUGCAGCUGUGCCGGGGGAAAGCUGGGCAGUUUCCCUCCUCCGAGCCCCUGUACAUACCAUGAAUUGUGGGACCUUCAGAGCUUUUCACUUUUCGGAAAAUAGCUCCUGCUGGGGCUACAAGAUGGAGUGUGAAGAGGGCCUUGGGCCACAGGGAGGCGCCUGUGGACUAGGGGGAGUUCAUGCACCCCUUCUUUCCCCAGAGGGGCUGGACUCAGGUGAGUAUGGGGGUGGGGGCUCCUGCACUUCAACACAGGCAGCGGGAGGGUUUUCUCCCCAUUCCCUCUGCACUCGCAACUUGAGCUAUACUUUUUAAGAAAGUGAUUCACCCUGCCUUUGCCCCCUUCCCCAGAACAGAACACGUUGAUCAUGGGCGAUAUUUUUCAUUGUGCCAAAAAGUUGCCAUGACUGUCAUUAAACCUCUUUAACACCAAAUAACAAGGAAAAUAAAAUAAAAAAUUCGGGCAUGGUGCAGAA